GGCGUGGAAUCAGGCAUUGAUCAAAAGGGAUGUCUGAUGCGGCACCACUCAGCCAAAUUCAGCCAUUUGUUCUGCAACAUUCGCUGUUUGCAGUUCAAGAUUGCAACAGGAAGAAAACAGGACCUGGAACAAUGCAAACUGCUGUAUGAAAUGAUAAUUCCAAGAGUAUCAUCGAUCGCAAAGGAUGCCAAUUCAGCGGUAUCAUGUAGAGAUCGUUUGGGUGACUUUAAAGCCAGAUCACAGGAAUGGGACUCUAUUCCUUAGUAUCAUAAUCAAAAGAGGAGGUAGAAAGAGGAAGAGAUAUUAGAUGAACUCUUAAGUCAUUCUUGCCAUCGCAGUGUGGAAGGCAUUCAGGAAACAUCCAGAAUUGAAGGUAUAAUCAAAUUCAUCCUCAACUUCCUGUUUACAGUUGCAGAGAAGGAGUCCCAGAAUAGAACCAAAUCAAACUCAAAAAAUUGUAAAGAAGAUUAGAGAUACUCUUGCAAUGCCUACACAGAUUGCUUUGCAGAGAUGGAUUCCAGCUCAUGGGAUUAUAGCUGCUGCAGAAGAACAUCAGUGCAACAGUUGGGGUCCAUCAGUGCAUAUACACACUCAUGAAAAAGAAGAACAACUGUGAUAAUCUGUGUGUAAUCCUGUAAUCCUGUGUGGGAUUAGGACAGGGGAGACCCAGACUGAAGCUCAACAUCAGCCACAGAAGCUCAGUACUGUAAAUUGGGCCAGAUACUAUCUCUUAUCCCAACUUAGCUCACAGGGUUGUUUCUGGGAGAAAGAAUUGGAGGGGGAAGUACUGUUCACAAAUGCUUUCUCCUGGCAGAAAAACUGAAUAUGAAUCUAAGUACAGCAAUAGCGGAAAAUAAAGAAAAGAGUGCAUGGCAUAUUAAAUAUAUCUAUAUGGCUGCUUCAAAUGUCAAGAAAAGUGUGUGUGAUGAAGAGUAGAGAAAUGGUAGGGGACAAUACUGGUGAAUAUACUGCUGACUUGAAUAUAUGAAGUAUAAUUUAAUAUAUCCACUAUGCAGAUUUAAGACAGUGAUAUGCACACACCA